UGCCUCUUUCUGGGCCAACAAUCCCCCAGGUACUCUUUUGCAAUAUGUAGAUGACCUUCUGGUGGCUGCAGAAACACACAAGGAGUGUGAACUUGGGACUCAGAGAAUCCUGGCUGAGUUAGGUGAGUUGGGGUACUGGGCUUCGGCUAAAAAGGCACAGUUAUGCCAGACUGAGGUGACUUACCUGGGAUACACCCUGAAGAAUGGACAACCAUGGCUCACCCGGAGCUAGGAAGAGGACAGUGACACAGAUACUUACCCCAACCACAACUCACCAGCCAUUCUCAACCCCACCACCUUACUGCCUGAAGCUAACGAAACCAUGGUACACCAAUGUGAAGAGAUACUGGCAGAAGAAACUGGGACUCGGCCAGACUUAACUGACUGACCAUGGCCUGGGGCAGUGACCUGGUUCAUCUAUGGAUGCAGCUUCAUGGUAGAAGCCUGGCAGAAGACCCUCAAAACCGUAAGGAAAGAAAACUGGGAGCAGUUGAAAGAGGCCUAUGUCACUGGCGACUUGCAGGUGCCACAUCAGUUUGAAGUGGGAGACACUGUCCUGGUGAGAAGGCAUCGAGCAGGGAACCUUGAGCAAUGGUGGAAGGGACCCUACCUGGUGCUAUUGACUACACCCACUGCCAUUAAGGUAGAAGGAAUCCCCACUUGGUUCCAUGCUUCACACAUUAAGAAGGCUCCCCCCUGAGACUAGUCGAGAUGAGUGGACCCUG